ACGUAGGGGGCGAGCGUUAUUCGGAAUUACUGGGUGUAAAGGGUAUGUAGGCGGCCCUUCAAGUCGCGUGUCAAAGUCCAGUGCUCAACGCUGGGUGUGCACGCGAUACUGACGGGCUGGAGUAUUGGAGAGGUGAGUGGAAUUCGCGGUGUAGUGGUAAAAUGCGUAGAGAUCGCGAAGAACACCGAAUGCGCAGGCAGCUCACAAAACAGUUACUGACGCUGAUACACGAAAGUGUGGGGAUCAAACAG
rnacentral:rRNA from 1 species